ACAGAAGAGAAUGCUGGGAAAAAGAAGCUGAGUCGAGGAGUCGCCAUGAUUCUCCCGCUCCAGACAGACACAGGUUAAGAUCCUCCCUGGAUCUCUCAUUGACCUGGGUCUCUGGAUUAGGUAGAAGGGCUGCUCACCAGCUCCAGGGUUGGAGAUUGCACAGGUGACGGUUCUGAACAAGACAGAAGAUGAAACCCACUAGGACAUGAAGCUGACUACUUAUACCGUCAUGGCAACAGAGUCCUCCAGUGUAAGGGAAAUCUCUCAUCGUCUUAUUAUCCUAGUCAUUUGUGUGCUCUCCUGGUGGCAAUGGAAUCAGGAAGACGCAGCACCCGUGAGACCUGGCUACUGGGAAUGCUUCAAUGUAACCGGAUUUAUGUUGACGUCUUUGAUCCACUUGGACGUGAGUUUUGUGCAGGAUGAUCGCUGUGGAUCUCUUUGCAUUCUUCUACAUGCCGCCAUCCAGUUAUGCCAGCACCAUUUCAUAGGUGUGUGGAUUUAUGUCAUUUUCUUUGAUUCAACUCCAUUGAUCCACCUGUUUUUAUGCCAAUACCAUGCUGUUUUUAUUCCUAUAGCUCUAUAGUAGAGCUUGAAGUCAGGGAUGGUGAUCCAUAGCCAUUUCUUAUGAGGUUGCCUGGGUUUGGUCAACAUCCUUUCCCUGGGUCUGUUUGUGUUGGGAAGAGGGUGGUCAGGGGUCUAUUGUUGCAGCCCCCAGUGCGACAUGAAGCAGAAGAGUCACUAGUCCUGAAAUGUAUACUGGGAGACAAAACACCCGAUGCUCCCUUCUGGACCUCUCAGAUUUGCCUCUGCCCAGAAACUAACAAGGAUGCAGGCAACUUCACCUCUCAUCUCGCUGCUGGACUCUGUGGCCUUUUGGAGCCAACUUCCCCACAACUUAGCUGUAAGAGUAACAUGGGCUCUGAGAGCAUUGUUUGUCAGUUCUCAGCUCUUUAAAGAGGAUGAAGGGUGGCAUAUAUGUCCAGUUUAUCAAUCCUCAAAUUAUGAAUCACACAAGCCCUUCACCCCAGGGCACUGAGCAAGGAGAGAGGAGCGAAGCCACAAUAGCUGCCCUCCCUCCCAGCUGCUGGAUGCUAUUUCCUGCAGGAAGCCUCUCCUGAUGCUUUCUCCCAGUCUGGCUUAGGUGUCCCUGCUCUGAGUUCUCUUAGCUCCCUUAGCAUGCUCUCCUGGCACUUAAAGCAGCACACAAAGCAUGUCUUUCCUUCCCCCACUUGCUUAUUCACGUGUUCUUCUUUCUGUUAUUUUCUCAUAUGGAAAACAUGCACUAUGACAGCCUGUUGCCAGUUAACUGA